GUACUCAUUCAGCUCUAAACACCCCCUCCCCCGACCCUCACUUUCUAACAUCAAUCCCCAGCAGCCCAAGAAUGCUCUGGGGCCAGGCAGAGUCUCUUGGGGAAAGUAAGAUGAGGAGGCAGAGUUCCGGGCUGGAGAACAGCUUCCCAUAAGCCUGCACUUUACUCCAUCACACCCUUCCUCCUCCUGUUGUGCUGGGUUUUCUUAAUGCCCCUUUUACAAACAACAAAGGCAGACAGGCGAAGUAACCUGUCCAAGGUCAUAACUAGCGAAGGCCUGAGCGCAAACCCAGGUGUGCCUAAUUCUAAAGUCUGAGCUCCUUACCACACUAUCUACUCUGCUUCCUCGCUGCAGAGGCCUUUCCUCAGCUGGAAAGCGGGGCUAACACCACCACCUUUCUCCCCUCAUUGAAGUGUCAAGAAGGAGAAGGCACACUGCUAAGUGUUCAUCAGUGAACCUGUGGACCCCACCCUCAACAGCCACUGGUGAGAAGCCAGAAGACCUGAAUUCUGGUCUUCCCUCUCUCGUGUGAUCCCGAGCAAGUCCCUUCCGGGGGCCUGCGCCUCCCAGCAUUCAGUCUCUCCAGUGUGCGGUUAGAAGUGGGUGUGUGUGCACUAAAUGAUUUUUAAGAUCAAUCCUUUCGGGCCUGGGCAUCCCGGAUCCUCAGUGGGGCCCUGACCCGUCCCUUACGCCUCCCUGCAACAGGGCAGUCUCUCCCACUCAAGUGACCUACUCGGUCCCCGCGGCCUAACCGUGGGUGAAAAGGAGAGGGUGGCACCGUUCUGAAAGGUCCCCCUCCAGAGGUCUAAGAAAACAAUGCCCAGGCAGGCGGAAAGGGGCUGCAAAGCCAGAAGAGGGGGCUCUACCGGAAACGAAGGCUGCAGUCCUCAGGGCCACGCACGGCGGCCGCCCGCAGCCCCCGGCCGCCCGCAGCAUCCCGAGCGGCCCGCCCAGUCCUUUGUGCUCCGCGGCCCGGCGUAACUCGACGCCCUGCCGGGCGCGGGCUGCUCUGGAGAAGGCGGGCUGCCAGGGCCCGUCCUAUAGGUCCCGGCCCGACUGCAAGGACUGGGACGGGAGGGCUGGGGACCCGGGAGCCCGGCGGCCGGCGCGGAGGGGCUGGGCGGGGGGCGGGGCGGCUCAGGCCCCGCCCCGGGAGCUCGCGGAGGGAAAGAGCCGCGGGCCUGGGCCCGCCCCGCUCGCUUGCUCGACCGCCGGCCCGGCCGGCCGAGGGUCGCGGCGGCAGCUCCUUCCAUUGUGAGGGGGAGGGGAGGCGGUGGCGGUGGAAGAAAGGGCCGUCCGUGCGUUUCGCCUCCGGCCGCCGGCGGCCCCGUCCCCAGCCUCCUCGGGAACCGGCGACCCGGCAUCGCCCCUGUUAGCCCGGGCCGGGUGGCCCUCCCCGGGUCAGUACCUUCGGAGUCGCUGCCGAGCGGCUCCUGCUUCUGCUGCUGAGGUUCCUCCGCCGCCAUCUUUAAACAGCGCCGCACUGCCGACCGCUUCCGGGUUAGCAGUUGCCCUCCUCCCGGAAGGGAGCCCCUCCUCGUGGCCCCUCCUUGGCAACGCCCCUAGCGACGGGAUCCCCCCGGGCGCAGUCACCUGUGCGGCUCGCAGUCAGGUGCGGCUGCCGCCCCGCCCACCCUCCAGCCGCACUCCUGCUGGUCUCCAUCUUCCCCUUGCCCGACGUUCCCGACGACAAGAGCCUCCCGGAGGCAAUUCAGGUUUCUUUGCACUGGAGUUCGAAGCGCGGAUUGUGUUACCGAGAUGAGUGGGAAGGACAGCAGCGUCUGAGCGCCGGGAGGAGGCUGUGCCUGAGUCCCAAGCAGACCCCUCAGUCUGUGGCUGUACAGGAGUGGAAUAUGACCGAAUAUUCUCAUGAGCUACACUCAGUCCUGGGGUAGGUGCAGCCAGAUUUGUAUUCCAGCAGCAUUGCAAACUACUAUUUAUUGGAUCAUUGAGCCUUGGGGUUGCUUCGAAGCUCAAGAAAGCAAAGUGUCCACCCUGUUUGGACUGGUGCUUACCAAACUGUUCAUUCCUUUUUCCCACUUUGACACCAAAAUCUGGAACUGCCAGUGAGAUCUCCACUUAGCAGAACUGGUAUUCCCAAAUGAGGAACUAAGAGAGUUGAUGACAGCCACAUGAUUUCUAUUUGGCUUUUCAAAGUCUUGAAAACGAAAACUACGUUAAGACCGCUCUGCCUCUACCCCUUCAUAUUUUGACUAGGGCAUCCAUGGGGCAGACAGGGACACGAGGGAGCUGGGGUUGGGACUAACGGUCAGGGCAGGAAACAGCUGCUCUGACAAGUGAGAAGGAAUGCGAGUUGUGACCCAGUGCUGGAGCACAGCCAGGCUGCCAACACCAAGUAAAUACCUCCCUCCCCGGGGGUGUUGGGCUUAAAAAACAGACCUGGGCAGCUCAGUCAGUUAAGUGUCUGCCUGUGGCCCCGGGUGGUGAUCCCAGGGUCCUGGGAUUGAAUCCCACAUGGGGUUCCUUGCUCAGCGGGGAGCCUGCUUCUCUCUCCCCGUCUGCUGCUCCCCGUUUGUGCUCGCUGUCUGACAAAUGCGUGGAUUUAAAAACAACAA